UGAGGCAAAUAGUAAGCAAGAGUAGCAAUAGGUUUAAAGAGUAAAGACUAGAGCAAAAAAAAUUGUGAUAUUAUAUAGAAGAGAGUCGUACUGAUAACGUGUUGAGAAUGUUUAAAAAGACACAAGAAUACUAGUAAGUAAUACAAAGAUACAAGAGUAAUAGUAAGUAAUAUACACAAGAAGGUUUCUAAGGAGAGAGAGCUUCAUACAUAAAAAUCUAUUGAUCUGGUUGUGUCUCGUAUACAAGAAGAGAAAGGAGAGAGGAUAAACAGUUCUUCUCCACUACAUUCCAAAUACUAUAGCUAUAGUAUUUAUU
rnacentral:lncRNA from 1 species